rnacentral:rRNA from 1 species
CCUCGGGAGGCAGCAGUGAGGAAUAUUGGUCAAUGGACGCAAGUCUGAACCAGCCAAGUAGCGUGAAGGAUGACUGCCCUAUUGGUUGUAAACUUCUUUUAUAUGGGAAUAAAAUGUCCCCCGUGUGGGAUUUUGUAUGUACCAUAGGAAUAAGGAUCGGCUAACUCCGUGCCAGCAGCCGCGGUAAUACGGGGGAUCCGAGCGUUAUCCGGAUUUAUUUGGUUUAAAGGGAGCGUAGGUGGAUUGUUAAGUCAGGUGUGAAAGUUGGCGGGUCAACCGUAAAAUUGCAGUUGAAACUGGCAGUCUGGAGUACAGUAGAGGUGGGCGGAAUUCGUGGUGUAGCGGUGAAAUGCUUAGAUAUCACGAAGAACUCCGAUUGCGAAGGCAGUUCACUGGACUGCAACUGACACUGAGGCUCGAAAGUGUGGGUAUCAAACAGGAUUAGAUACCCUUGUAGUC